GGUCAGAAUAAGAAUGUACAAAGUCUAAGACUAUUUUCUAUAGCAUAUUUUUAAAUAGAUUCAGAGUCAUGCACUCUCUGUCUUCUUUCUCCAUCUACACUGUCUUCUGGCAAUAAUAAAGUUGGGGAAUCUACAUAAAAAAGCGACUUCUAAGGAUGCCAAAUGAAUAGCAGUUUCUGGGUCAUUCCCAUUUCUUCCUCUGUGAAAGUGUACAACACAUGAGUUACUCUACACAUUUCCUCCAAACCCCAAAGUGUUAGGUUGCCAAAGAAAGCUCAUCAGGUAAUAUUACUCUUUGCCUUCAUGUAAUAAUUUUAAGUACAUACAAAAAUCAGACAUUAACAUGAAAAUAUCAAGCCAUAGAAUUGAGUUUUAGUUUUACUGACAUUUAAGAUCACACUUCCUGUUUAUGAUUUCAGAAAUGCAACCAUGCAGUGCUUCUAUUAAAAACUGAGUGAUUGAGAACAGUUUGAGGAUUAUAAUGACAACUUAUCCAAAGGAAAAAAAAAACCUAAACUGCUGCCUUCAUUUGUGGAAUUGCUAUCUUUGUUGUGUAAAAAGUUGAAUACUUUUCAAACAUCAUUUACUAAUAGUGUAGUUAAAAGGGGAACUUGGUGGUCUGUGUCCCUAAAACACACACACACACACACACACACACACACACGCACAUGCACACACACACACACAUAUAUAGUAAGGGUAAUACUUGCAAAAAUUUUUCUUUUUUCACUCCUUUUUAGAUGUCAGUUACUAAUUGGUUAUUGUUAUGCAUUAAUUAACAGUCCCACCUGAAGGAGGGAAAUUGUAGAGGUGAAUGCAAUUCUUAAAUAAAAGCCCCUUUCUUUCAUUAUUUAUUUGUUCUAUUUGAAGCAUAAUCAUGUGAGUUUAUUUUUUCGUGUCACUUCAGAGUUUGUGUGGGGGGACUGUAUGUGGAGAGAGAGAGCACCCAAGUGAGCAAUGACUCUUAGACAUCCAAAUCCAUGUUCUCAUUUCUUUUUGGCCACACAGAUAAACUUAUUCCUAGCCUCCCCUGCAGGCAGAUGUGGGCAUGUGACCAAGUUAGAGCCAAUGGAAUUAGGAAUGGCAGUUAUAUGCACUACUUUUGAGUCUCCUUAAAAACUCCCCUUCUAACGGACUGGUACUGAAGUCUGCUACUGAAAGCCUAGGUACUAGAACACCUUGGAAACUAAGCACUGAACUAGUGUAUUUUAGCAAGAAACUUGAUUAUAACAAAUAUAAUUUGAGCCAUUAUACAUUUUUGGGUUGAUCUGUAUGGCAGUUAGCCUACCCUAAUUAAUUUAAUAUACAGAACUUAUAUUUUGGCAGUGUCCCUGUGAUGCACAACUCCAUUGGGCACUAUUUACAUUGUAAUAUAUGUAAAUGUCAUUUCCUGAAGCAGGAUUAAGAAGCUACAGAAUGUAUCUUCCAGGAGGACAGGCCUAUAUCUUUUUUUGGUUGACUCCAGCGCCUAGCAAGUGUUUAACACACAAAUCAGAUUGGUUCCUGGAAGUGGAAGUACUGUAUGAAAGAUUUGGACAUUUUUAUGACCCUAGAAAGAGAGACAGCCAGCGAGAGAGGGAACACAAGC